CGGAAGGCGGAAGGCAGACAUUUUUCAAGCUUAGAAUAAAUAAAUAAUAAUUCGACGCCAUCCUGAUUAAAUACAGUUUAAUUCUUAUAUAAAAUAAUUUCCGAGCAAAGUAUAACUGUUGUGUCUCUGUGAUUCGGUGUGUACCCAUUAACAUGGAUCGGUACCACCAGUUGUUCGUCACUCCUCCACUGCAGACAACUGAGUACCUUGAACACUUUGAACAGUCACCACCGUAGCAUGAAAAUGUUGAUUGCAGAACCUUUGAUGCAGUACAUGUACUCUUAAUGGGACGUAGCAGCGGGACUGGCUGUGACGCACCUUCGCAAUCUGGAGUGGAUAUGGUGGCUGAAGUGGAACUCGACUUCCUGACCAAGACAAACUCCUCUAUAUUCAUCUGAACUACAGUACGACUCUUUGUCCAUCUGAUGUAACGAAUGCCUCACCCGAGCUGACAGUUCGAUGCCACAGUACUUGCAUUUUUCUAUCUUCGACGUUCCCGGGGCAUUGUUCAGGCUAUGGAUGGUGGAUGCAGCUCUUCCAGUCAUCGUUUGUGAAUAGUUCACAUUUUUAGCUGUGUGAUUCGGUGUGUACCCAGGAACAUGGAUCGGUACCACCAGUUGUUCGUCACUCCACCACUGCAGACAAUUGAGUACCGUGAACACUUUGAACAAUCACCACCAUAGCAUGAUAGUGUUGAUUGCAGAACCUUUGAUGCAGUACAUGUACUCGUAAUGGGACGUAGCAGGCGGACUGGCUGUGACGCACCUUCGCAAUCUGGAGUGGAUAUGGUGGCUGAAGUGGAACUCGACUUCGUGACCAAGGGAAACUACUCUAUAUUCAUCUGGACUACAGGUCGCAAUUUCUCAAUCUCUGAUUCUGGACUUGCAUGUUCAUGUCACAGAGUUUUACCCUUAUUCCAAGGUGUAUGUCCCUUCUUGAACUGUGUCUUUCGUCUUGUAUUGCCUUCCAUGGAUGUGACUUGUAGUGUAUAAAACAGUGAAAUACUUAUUGUGGUAUGCAUGUCCACACUUAUAUAUACCAGGCCAUGUGUAAUGUCACCUUCAGUUUUGAAUGAAUGAAUGAAUGAAUGAAUGUUUAACGACACCCCAGCACGAAAAAUACAUCGGCUAUUGGGUGUCAAACUAUGGUAAUGCAAAUAAAUAAGUGAUGAUCAACAUCAAUAUAA